rnacentral:RNase_P_RNA from 1 species
GUGCAGUCGCGCGAUAUGGUGCCGAAAGGUAUUAUCGUGAGGAAAGUCCGGGCUUCACAGGGUAAGGAUAACGGAUAACAUCCGCCGAGGGUGACCUCCGGGAGAGUGCAACAGAAAUAAACCGCCGCGCAAGCGGUAAGGGUGGAAAGGCGAGGUAAGAGCUCACCACGUCCCGUGGUAACACGGGGGGUCUGUAAACCCUAUCCGAAGCAACGCCUACGGGAGAGCGCGUAAGCGCUACGGUGCCCGCCGGAAUCCUGUUGGCGGCAGGGGCGAAAGCCCUGAACAUAUCGGUAACGGUAUGUGAAGAUAGAUGACUGCGGCUCGCGCAAACGUUCACAGAACCCGGCUUACAAGUUCGG